rnacentral:tRNA from 1 species
GGCGCCAGAGCCAAGUGGUAAGGCAGCGGACUGCAAAUCCGCGAUUGCUCCGGUUCAAAUCCGGAUGGCGCCUCCA